rnacentral:rRNA from 1 species
CGGACGGGUGAGUAAUGUAUGGGGAUCUGCCUGAUGGCGGGGGAUAACUACUGGAAACGGUAGCUAAUACCGCAUAAUGUCUGCGGACCAAAGCGGGGGACCUCCGGGCCUCGCGCCAUCAGAUGAACCCAUAUGGGAUUAGCUUGUAGGUAAGGUAACGGCUUACCUAGGCGACGACCCCUAGCUGGUCUGAGAGGAUGAUCAGCCACACUGGGACUGAGACACGGCCCAG